GGCAAGGCCGUGACCAACAACAGUGUCCACGUCAUGGAGGAGCUAUGGCUGCAGCAGCACUGUGUGUAAUCGGAUGGUCUGGUCAGGUACAGAUUGGUGUGGGAUUUGUGAUGCCACUCAACAAGUGGCAUUACAUAUUCAAGUCUGCUUCCGACGGAAAGUGCCCAUUAGAGGUGGCAUGGCACCUGUGGACACCAGUGCAAGCAGGUGAAAGCAGCCUGACUGGACAGGCCUGCCGAACAAUGUGCCGCGCAUCUGGGAAGCUUCCGGCAACACCGGAGAAAGUGGCUGCUUUGAAAAACUGCCUGGAGAAAUACAUAAGUGACCAUCCAAUGAUGCCACCUACACCACAUCCGGAGAACCACCUUGCUUCCCUGCGAAAGCACCUUUGGAGCUUUCUUUUACACAAGCAGGACGCCAGGGCAAGCGAGUGGAAAAGUAAAUACAGUACAAGUCCAGUGAUGCUUUUUCAAUAAAGUGUGAUGAUAUGCUACGUA